rnacentral:rRNA from 1 species
AGCAGCCGCGGUAAUUCCAGCUCCAAUAGCGUAUAUUAAAGUUGUUGCAGUUAAAAGCUCGUAGUUGAAUUUCGGGAUCAAUACGCCGGUCGUGCUUCGGUACGUACUGGCGUAAUUGAUUUCUCCCUUCUGACGAACCAUGAUGUCAUUAACUUGGUGUCAUGGGAAAUCAGGACUGUUACUUUGAAAAAAUUAGAGUGUUUAAAGCAGGCUCACGCUUGAAUACAUUAGCAUGGAAUAAUGAAAUAGGACGUUCGAUCCUAUUUUGUUGGUUUUUAGGAUCAACGUAAUGAUUAAUAGGGAUAGUUGGGGGCAUUAGUAUUCAAUUGUCAGAGGUGAAAUUCUUGGAUUUAUUGAAGACUAACUACUGCGAAAGCAUUUGCCAAGGAUGUUUUCAUUAAUCAAGAACGAAAGUUAGGGGAUCGAAGACGAUCAGAUACCGUCGUAGUCUUAACCAUAAACUAUGCCGACUAGGGAUCGGAUGAUGUUAAUUUUUUAAUGACUCAUUCGGCGCCUUACG